GAUGGUGUGGUGUAAUGGUAGCACGUAACGUUGUGGCCGUUGAGGUCUGGGUUCGAUUCCCAGCACCGUCA
rnacentral:tRNA from 1 species